UACGGGGGGGAGCAAGCGUUGUUCGGAUUUACUGGGCGUAAAGGGCGCGUAGGCGGUCGUGACAAGUCACUUGUGAAAUCUCCGGGCUUAACUCGGAACGGUCAGGUGAUACUGUCGGACUAGAGUACAGAAGGGGCAACUGGAAUUCCUGGUGUAGCGGUGGAAUGCGCAGAUAUCAGGAGGAACACCGGUGGCGAAGGCGGGUCUCUGGGCAGUAACUGACGCUGAGGAGCGAAAGCGUGGGGAGCGAACAGG
rnacentral:rRNA from 1 species